rnacentral:misc_RNA from 1 species
GGACAAAGCGUUCGAAGUAUCACCAGAGUUAGGUUCAGAAUUGGUGUUCUCAGAUACGCUUGAACCUUGAGAUACAUUGGCGCAUAAGUUUUUCGUCCAUGUUGCAACAGCAUUCAUGACUUCAACUCCAAACCAAACUUCACCAGCAUGGCCAUGCUCUUGAAAAUUCAAAAGAUCCUCUGCAUAUGAAUCAUCCCAGUAGCUUUGUAGUCCCAGCAU